CCUACGGGCGGCAGCAGUGAGGAAUAUUGGUCAAUGGACGAGAGUCUGAACCAGCAAAGUAGCGUGAAGGAUGACUGCCCUAUGGGUUUUAAACUUCUUUUAUAAAGGAAUAAAACGAGGCACGUGUGCCUUUUUGCAUGUACUUUAUGACUAAGGAUCGGCUAACUCCGUGCCAGCAGCCGCGGUAAUACGGAGGAUCCUAGCGUUAUCCGGAGUUAUUGGGUUUAAAGGGAGCGUAGAUGGGUUGUUAAGUCAGCUGUGAAAGUUUGCGGCUUAACCGUAAAAGUGCAAUUGAAACUGGCAGUCUUGAGUACAGUAGAGGUUAGCGGAAUUCGGGGUGUAGCGGUGAAAUGCUUAGAUAUCACGAAGAACACCGAUUGCGAAGGCAGCUUACUAAACUGUGACUGACAUUGAUGCUCGAAAGUGUGGGUAUCAAACAGGAUUAGAUACCCUUGUAGUC
rnacentral:rRNA from 1 species